rnacentral:misc_RNA from 1 species
CCGACUCCUAUCACAGAGAGCAUGAAAGAGGAUCCUAAGUGGCCCUCUUUUGGACAGCUUAUUAUUGAUCUUUCCAAGCUCGCACUUGAGGCAUUGGCUAGCAUGUUCCUCUUCUUACUCCCUUCAUGNNNCAAAGGCCUCACACCAUUGAAAGAUUCCCUAAGGAUGCCUGAGGAUGAAGUUGAACCCCCAACAGUGCAGAGGCAGAGUAUUCCUGUUCCUUUGUCUGAAACCCGG